CCCUGAUGCUACUGCUGCUCAGCUUAUAAACCUCUGAGACCAAUGGAGCCUUUAAAAGUUCACAAGAUGCCAUCAGACUUUGAUUUCCACCUGUAUGAAUAUACACAAUGACAAAGCUACACCAGAGCCCCUCCAGAAGUGCUCAGAGCUGGGAACAGCAAACCAAGAGAAAUUCCAGCAAAGGGGCGGUGACUGAUGCUGCAGAUAGCAGUUAUCAGAGGAGCCCAUAAAUCCACCCAACCUAAACACAGUGUCAGGCAGCAGCCCUUCUGCUUUGGAUGUCGCCUCCGGGGAUGCACAGCUGCUUGUUCUGAUCAACAGUUUCCAUUCUGUCUUUCAGGUUCCCAGAAGACACUGUUUCCUGGGAAAUGUCUUUGUGGUGCUGGUUGAGUGCCUGCACGGCCUCAGGGAGAAGGAGCAGAGCUUGACACUGUCCUGAUGCACAGCUUCAAACUGCCGUUAGGCUGCCAUGGGAUGGCUGGGAAAUGUGUAAAUGGGUAAAACAACGUGUAUUGGUGAAACCAGCUUGCUGGCAUUACAGAGCUUGUUUAAUCGUGGAGUCACAGAAUGGCCUGGGAUGAAAGGGACCUCAAAGAUCAUCUAGUUCCAACCCCCUGGAAAGUCUGCAUUAAGAAAUAGUACCAGCUUCUCUCCUGGGGCUUGUAAUUGUCACUUACCAGCACCGUGAUCUUUAACACAACGACUCUCUAGUGGCAUCACUGUGGUUGCAGUCACCCCAAUCCUCUGCAGACGGAGAUUACUUGAGGUGAGAUGGAGAGGGACAGAGGGAUGAAAAGCAGGGAAGCCACAAGCCUGGAGCUGAUGCCACCGCAGAGAUGUGCUGAGUGUCAGGAGUGAGUCUGCUAUCCCCUACACCUGGGCUGCUCUGCAGCUCCCUUUAGAUCCAAAAUGAUUUGUGCUUCCUUCUGACCCCCAAAGGCAGUCAAAAACAAAUGUACUGACAUGAAAG
ensembl:lncRNA